rnacentral:rRNA from 1 species
UACGAAGGGGGCUAGCGUUGUUCGGAUUUACUGGGCGUAAAGCGCACGUAGGCGGUUUGUUAAGUCAGGGGUGAAAUCCCAGAGCUCAACUCUGGAACUGCCUUUGAUACUGGCAAGCUCGAGUCCGGAAGAGGUAAGUGGAACUCCUAGUGUAGAGGUGGAAUUCGUAGAUAUUAGGAAGAACACCAGUGGCGAAGGCGGCUCACUGGUCCGUACUGACGCUGAGGUGCGAAAGCGUGGGGAGCAAACAGG